CGGCUGUAAUGGUCAAAUGGCGAAGACUCUUGUUCUUCUCGCCGUGCCGAUGGGCACACUAUCAACCAGACCCGAACCCGUUAGAUCCCCCUCGCCUGGCGCCCAGUUCGAACGCCGCGGUGGUCUUGCGUGCUCGCACGGGUAACCUGCGAUGCCAUGCGGCCCUAAGCAAUGGAGAUGACCCUUGAGAGAGGACUCACUCUGCAGAGAACUCUCCCCCGUCGCGUGGCGGAUUGGAUCACGACCGCGGGGGGCUUGGGUUGGUUGAGCGAGAUAGAGAUGCGCGACGCUUCCUUUUU
rnacentral:SRP_RNA from 1 species